GAGUUUGAUCCUGGCUCAGAUUGAACGCUGGCGGCAUGCUUUACACAUGCAAGUCGAACGGCAGCACAGGGAGCUUGCUCCUGGGUGGCGAGUGGCGAACGGGUGAGUAAUGUAUCGGAACGUGCCUGGUAGUGGGGGAUAACUACUCGAAAGAGUGGCUAAUACCGCAUGAGAUCUUUGGAUGAAAGCGGGGGACCUUCGGGCCUCGCGCUACUGGAGCGGCCGAUAUCAGAUUAGGUUGUUGGUGGGGUAAAGGCCUACCAAGCCUGCGAUCUGUAGCUGGUCUGAGAGGACGACCAGCCACACUGGGACUGAGACACGGCCCAGACUCCUAUCGGGAGGCAGCAGCGGGGAAUUUUGGACAAUGGGCGCAAGCCUGAUCCAGCAAUGCCGCGUGCAGGAUGAAGGCCUUCGG
rnacentral:rRNA from 1 species